GCAAAAACAAGUACACAUGAGUUAGUCAGUCAAACAGAGACACAAAUAUGGGUUCAAGAACCUGAAAAGCGCUAGUUUAAUUAGCAAAAGUGAGGAUGUGGUUAACUUUCCCUGCUAAAGUUAUACAAAGUUUUAAUUGUAGUCUAACUGUAAUCUCACAGACUUCUGGUUUACAGUAUUUUUAAAUUUUCAAUUACUAUAAACUAUUUCUAAAUGUACUCACUUCAUUACUUAAGCCAGUUCAACUGCUCGUCAAUACCAAUAUCUACUCGUCCAAUCACAUGGCAGAAACUUCAUGGAUUUAGGCAUGUAGCCUUGGUUACGUCAACCUGCCGAAGUUGAAGUAUCAGAACCUCUGAUUUAGUGGGAUUUUCCCACAAAAACAUCGCACCUUGUUGCACACAUGUCUGAAGGAAAAAGGAGGUCCAACCCAGUACUAUCAAAGUGUACCUAAUACAGUGGCAGGUGAGUAUGUGUGUGCAUACCACAGAAGCCUUUUUUCAGAAGUCUACUGCCACAGAGGCACCAGAUCUACCGGUGUGUGAUGAUCGUGAAUUAUUUAAGCAACAGGAAACUUUUAUGUGGAAAGCACAAACUAAUCAGCUGGUUUUAAAAGCGCUACAGUGCCAUUUUGUGGCUGAAGAGAACAUUACAUUUCAAUAACAAAGUACAUUUCAGUAAAUCACAGCUGCAGGUACCAGUCUGAAGUUCUCCAGAGGCCUGGUAAUGAACUAAUUAUUUGAUUCAGGUGUGUUGACCCAGGGUGAGAUCUAAAACCACCGCUCCUGUAUGAGCAGUAGCCAAGAUUGCUGCCAUGCCAGCUUGCUGUGGGAGGAGCUGGAUCUCUGAGCGCAGCGCCGCCGGGUACGACGGCUCCUCCUUCACCACAGGUUGUUUGUGGGUGACGAGGCUCAGUGGAGGAGAGCCUUGGGCCACCGGAGAGGAGGAGCCCAGAGGAACGGGAGACACGACCGCCACAAGCCUUUCGCCGA